rnacentral:rRNA from 1 species
CAGUCGUACGCUUCUUUUUCCCCGGAGCUUGCUCCACCGGAAAAAGAAGAGUGGCGAACGGGUGAGUAACACGUGGGUAACCUGCCCAUCAGAAGGGGAUAACACUUGGAAACAGGUGCUAAUACCGUAUAACAAUCGAAACCGCAUGGUUUUGAUUUGAAAGGCGCUUUCGGGUGUCGCUGAUGGAUGGACCCGCGGUGCAUUAGCUAGUUGGUGAGGUAACGGCUCACCAAGGCCACGAUGCAUAGCCGACCUGAGAGGGUGAUCGGCCACAUUGGGACUGAGACACGGCCCAAACUCCUACGGGAGGCAGCAGUAGGGAAUCUUCGGCAAUGGACGAAAGUCUGACCGAGCAACGCCGCGUGAGUGAAGAAGGUUUUCGGAUCGUAAAACUCUGUUGUUAGAGAAGAACAAGGAUGAGAGUAACUGUUCAUCCCUUGACGGUAUCUAACCAGAAAGCCACGGCUAACUACGUGCCAGCAGCCGCGGUAAUACGUAGGUGGCAAGCGUUGUCCGGAUUUAUUGGGCGUAAAGCGAGCGCAGGCGGUUUCUUAAGUCUGAUGUGAAAGCCCCCGGCUCAACCGGGGAGGGUCAUUGGAAACUGGGAGACUUGAGUGCAGAAGAGGAGAGUGGAAUUCCAUGUGUAGCGGUGAAAUGCGUAGAUAUAUGGAGGAACACCAGUGGCGAAGGCGGCUCUCUGGUCUGUAACUGACGCUGAGGCUCGAAAGCGUGGGGAGCAAACAGGAUUAGAUACCCUGGUAGUCCACGCCGUAAACGAUGAGUGCUAAGUGUUGGAGGGUUUCCGCCCUUCAGUGCUGCAGCUAACGCAUUAAGCACUCCGCCUGGGGAGUACGACCGCAAGGUUGAAACUCAAAGGAAUUGACGGGGGCCCGCACAAGCGGUGGAGCAUGUGGUUUAAUUCGAAGCAACGCGAAGAACCUUACCAGGUCUUGACAUCCUUUGACCACUCUAGAGAUAGAGCUUCCCCUUCGGGGGCAAAGUGACAGGUGGUGCAUGGUUGUCGUCAGCUCGUGUCGUGAGAUGUUGGGUUAAGUCCCGCAACGAGCGCAACCCUUAUUGUUAGUUGCCAUCAUUUAGUUGGGCACUCUAGCAAGACUGCCGGUGACAAACCGGAGGAAGGUGGGGAUGACGUCAAAUCAUCAUGCCCCUUAUGACCUGGGCUACACACGUGCUACAAUGGGAAGUACAACGAGUCGCGAAGUCGCGAGGCUAAGCUAAUCUCUUAAAGCUUCUCUCAGUUCGGAUUGUAGGCUGCAACUCGCCUACAUGAAGCCGGAAUCGCUAGUAAUCGCGGAUCAGCACGCCGCGGUGAAUACGUUCCCGGGCCUUGUACACACCGCCCGUCACACCACGAGAGUUUGUAACACCCGAAGUCGGUG